ACGGCUCAGUAACACGUGGACAACCUACCCUUGGGACCAGUAUAAUCCUGGGAAACUGGGCAUAAUGCUGGAUAGGUCACAAUUGCUGGAAUGCAUUGUGGCUCAAAGCUCCGGCGCCCAAGGAUGGGUCUGCGGCCUAUCAGGGUAGUAGUGGGUGUAAUGCACCUACUAGCCUACGGCGGGUACGGGUUGUGAGAGCAAGAGCCCGGAGAUGGAUUCUGAGACACGAAUCCAGGCCCCACGGGGUGCAGCAGGCGCGAAAACUUUACAAUGCGGGAAACCGUGAUAAGGGGACACCGAGUGCCAGCAACAUUUGCUGGCUGUCCAGGUGUGUAAACUACACCUGUUAGCAAGGGCCGGGCAAGACCGGUGCCAGCCGCCGCGGUAACACCGGCGGCCCGAGUGGUGAUCGUUAUUAUUGGGUCUAAAGGGUCCGUAGCCGGUUUAGUCAGUCCUCCGGGAAAUCUGUCAGCUCAACUGAUAGGCUAUCGGGGGAUACUGCUAGACUUGGAACCGGGAGAGGUAAGAGGUACUACAGGGGUAGGAGUGAAAUCUUGUAAUCCCUGUGGGACCACCUGUGGCGAAGGCGUCUUACCAGAACGGGUUCGACGGUGAGGGACGAAAGCUGGGGGCACGAACCGGAUUAGAUACCCGGGUAGUCCCAGCCGUAAACGAUGCUCGCUAGGUGUCAUGCAUGGUGCGACCGUGUAUGGUGCCGUAGGGAAGCCGUGAAGCGAGCCACCUGGGAAGUACGGCCGCAAGGCUGAAACUUAAAGGAAUUGGCGGGGGAG
rnacentral:rRNA from 1 species